rnacentral:sRNA from 1 species
GCUUCAUGGUCAUCAGUGAUAUAUCCCUGUUUUCACUAAUUUUCUAUGUUUUAGGUAUAGGAUCUUGAGUCUUUAUGUUAUUUUUCGAGUCUUUUUAGUGUCUUUUCAGGUAUUCUAUGCAGUGGGAUAACAAUGGAGAUAAGGAGAUAUUUUGGAGCAAGAGCUAAGGAAAAGGAAGCUAAGGACGAUUUUGGAUUUAGGAUCAGCGAGGAGUGUCGAGCGACA